CAGAAACAUGAGUGACAGGGAAGGAGUUAGAGGGAAGAACAAUUAAACUUGGGUCCGGUUUGGUUAUGGGAGUAUUUUUUCAGCAGGACAACAGAACCUGGGCUCAUAUUUAUGUGUCUGUCCCUUUAAUAAAAGGUGCGACAGUGAGGACAUAUUACCUGCUCACGGACUGGUCUCUCCUCCGAGUCCACUCUGCCCUCCCUGGUGCGUUACCGAGGCCAAACAUAAAGCAGUGUUUCAUGGCGCUGGGGCUUAUCUGGGCUCUGAAAGUAUGUGAGACAUGCCAGGAAAACAAAGGAGCGUCUCUGCGCCAACUGCAGGGCACUGAUGACCUUGUUCUGGCGCUCCUGACACAGUAGGAUUGCUCCAUAAACGAUAAGUAAAGACGGAGUGUCUGGGAGGUUAAAGGCCUCCACUUUCACAAACAAAGAUCAAUGGUAAUGCGAGGGAGGCCACACAAGAUGGAUGCCACGGGCGGGUUUUAGCCGAGCGACGCAGGCCGACGCGAGGGAGACCGACCGCGUUUCCUGAGAGCAACCGAAGCUGGCGGCCAUCUGCUGUGACUCGCGACGCCGAACGAAACUUUCUUGGUCGUUGUUGUUACCGCAAACCUGCGACUAAAAAACGUCCAACAUUGUCCACCGUGCAAGCCGGCCCCUCUUGACCUGCAGCUCCUCGUGAAAUAACGUACGCGUAGAAUUCAAAUCAACAUGCCGACUUUGACUGCACAAAUACUGUGGUGCGAUAAUGCAGACAAUGACGCCUUGAAUCACACGACCUUCGAGACCAAGCAGAGAGAUCCCAUCGCAGGUGAUUCAACUGAAAGGAUCAGAUAAUUUUGUGCCUUUCUAUUGUGGAUGCAAUGCUACACAUUCAGUAAGAAAAUACAAUUAAAUCGAAAUAUGAAGCCACUCUGGCUGAACUGCGAAGUCGAACGCUAAUAGAAUAAUACUGCUUCGACAGACAGCUCCGAGCAUUAUUGUCUAAAGUUGGGUAAAGGGUAAUUAAUUUGGCAGAAAAUCAUUCAGUGUUUUGGUGACUCUGAUGAGAAUUGUGAUCUUUUUUUUCUUUUUUUCUCUCUCUCGCUCAGACAUCCCCGACGCCAACCCCCAGUCCCCAUUGUCUGUGUGAAAAUGGAAAUCUGUGCCACCAGUACAAUAUCCACAUUAUGUGCCCUGCCUCCACAUUGUUGCAUGACAUGCUUGAUUGUACCCCGGCAUAUAGUAGCGGAAAUGUGUAAACAUACCAUUAGCACAUAUUACGGUUCGUCCUCCUCUAACUUAUUAAUGUGUAAUGUACGACUUUGUACAAGGUUUUUUUUUUAGGAUUUCUUCUAUGUUUGAACCAAACACCUCUUGGAGAUUUUGUAGAGCAGACAAAAAAUCAGAAGGAAAAGCGUUAAUUUACUAAUUAGUUUGUGCUUUGGACAAAAUACGUCCAUUUCAAAAUAACGGUUGAUACGUUUUACAAGAAAAUCAUCUGUUUUACUCUCACAUUGAUUCACAAAACCAUCAAAGCUUUUCUGUCAAAAACGUUUUAACUCAACCAUGCUGGACAUUGUUUGUGCCUCCCUGAAAGGCAAUUGCUAUUAUUAACCUUGCCUGAGGCUAAAGGUACAAUACAUGCCUUGCUAUAAUUGAGGGUAUAUGACAUUUGUAUACAAUGUUUUGACGUAUUGUGCAUGUUCAGAUAUUAUACAAUGAUUAUAAAGCUGAAUCUCUCAGACUUAUUGUUUCAUGUAAUACAGUUUAAAGGCGUUGGGACCAAGACAAACCGCCCAAAAGAAUACUUUCACAUGAAUCAUUGAGUGGUUCUGAAUGAAGAUAAAUUCACCUCUGAACCGUCCCAUGUGCAUUGACAAUUAAAAUCUCUUUCCAAAA
ensembl:lncRNA